GACGAACGCUGGCGGCGUGCUUAACACAUGCAAGUCGAACGCUGAAGCUUGGUGCUUGCACUGGGUGGAUGAGUGGCGAACGGGUGAGUAAUACGUGAGUAACCUGCCCUUGACUCUGGGAUAAGCCUGGGAAACUGGGUCUAAUACUGGAUAUGACAUGCCACUGCAUGGUGGUGUGUGGAAAGGGUUUUACUGGUUUUGGAUGGGCUCACGGCCUAUCAGCUUGUUGGUGGGGUAAUGGCCUACCAAGGCGACGACGGGUAGCCGGCCUGAGAGGGUGACCGGCCACACUGGGACUGAGAAACGGCCCAGACUCCUACGGGAGGCAGCAGUGGGGAAUAUUGCACAAUGGGCGGAAGCCUGAUGCAGCGACGCCGCGUGAGGGAUGACGGCCUUCGGGUUGUAAACCUCUUUCAGCACGGAAGAAGCGAGAGUGACGGUACGUGCAGAAGAAGCGCCGGCUAACUACGCG
rnacentral:rRNA from 1 species